rnacentral:rRNA from 1 species
GACGAACGUUGGCGGCGUGCUUAAUACAUGCAAGUCAACUGAAGCAGUGGUAGCAAUAUCGCUGUGGAGGUGGCGCACGGGUGAGUAACACGUAGGUAAUCUGCCUUCAGGUCUGGCAUAACUCCGGGAAACCGGGGCUAAUAGCAGAUGAUGCAGCGGCUCGACAUCGAGACAGUUGUUAAAGCUAUGGCGACUGAAGAUGAGCCUGCGUCUGAUUAGCUAGUUGGCGGGGUAACGGCCCACCAAGGCAACGAUCAGUAGCUGGUCUGAGAGGAUGAUCAGACACACUGGAACUGGGACACGGUCCAGACUCCUACGGGAGGCAGCAGUAAGGAAUAUUGCUCAAUGGGAGAAAUCCUGAAGCAGCAACGCCGCGUGAGGGACGAAGGGCUUUUGCUUGUAAACCUCUGUAGUGAGAGAAAAAAAUCCCAAUCUUUGGGACAUGAUGGUAUCUCACAAGUAAGCCCCGGCUAACUACGUG